UUCUCGGUAGUAUAGUGGUUAGUAUGCAGGCUUGUCAAGUCCUCCGGACAAGAUUCGCCUGAGACCCGGGUUCAAUUCCCGGCCGGGAAG
rnacentral:tRNA from 1 species